UACUUCGAAUCAUUUCCCCCAAAUCGAACUUCGAUUCCCCCAUGGCCAAGCUCGUCAACCAUCUGCCGUCGCUGCAUCGAGGUAGCAAUAAAACGAUCGGAGGCUUCCAAUCCUCUCCUGCACAGUUCAAUGUUCACCUGUGCACAGCAGUUGUGGGAAACAACUGCUUCUGCGUCCUGCGCGGCCGAGGCACAGGGGUAUAGUUCAUCGCCUCUGCGUCACGUCGAUCCAGGGCACUCGCCAUCUCCGCUAUUGAUGCCGAGGAUGGCAAGAAAUCCAAGGACAAGCAGCUCCAUGGAAACAGAAAAACUUGUCUGAUUUCGGAGUUGUCACUCAAUGUAUCUCACCUACUCGGAUUAAUGAUGAGUACUCGAAAAAUCUUCUACUGAAGAUAAUGCCAAGGUAAGUUGCCUUGUCUUGCAACGUCAAAAAAUUAUCAUCCAAGUUUAAGGACUUCUAGGUAAUGUAUUGCCGAAAAUAUUGGUUCGUCGCAGCUUCGUAGGUUGAAAUUUGUACAGGCUGACGAGUUACAAUCCUCAAUUCCAAUGGUGUCCAAGGUCCCUACCCUUAUAUUUGGUAUAGAUGUAUCUCAUGGUUCUUCUAGAUACUCAGACAUUCCAUCCAUUGCUGCGGUUGGGCCCUCGACUCCUCAGUACUAUAUAUUUAUACAUAUUUUUAUCAAUUAAUAUUUUUUACGGUUAAAUUAAAUAUAGAAUCCUUCUUUCUAGCUAUGCAUUGGUAAUGCAUUAUUUGUGUGUAAUCAUGUGUGCCCUAAACCCGCCUCCUAUCUUUAGUUAGAAUGCCUUACAGUUCUCCAUCUUUAAUAACAUAAAGUGAGUUUUAGCUUCUCAGCUUCUUGAAUCUUCUAAUGUAUAUCUGAUUUUUUUAGUUAGCGGUGUCAUUAAUAAUUACGUAAGGAUAUAAUUUUAAUGAUUGCUUCAUCUCCCUGAAUCCCAAAAAUAGUUUGGUAAUAUUUGGAAAAAAAAAUGUCAUUUUCUACUUCUGCUAUUUCUUAGAGGCUUCCUCUUAUGGCCUUAUCCAUUUCACUGUUUAUUGAUAUGUAGAUUUUGAAAGUUCUAUGUCUCCUUCAAGCUAACCCAAUCUCAAAGUUAUUGAACCCCCCAUCACUUAUUGGAAUGACUAUCUCAUUAGUGUCAAUUCUCCAAAUUUGUUGUUAUUUCUGUUUCAUUUUCAGCACACCUAUUAUGAAUGGGUUUUUCGAUAUUUUCAUGUGUAAUGCCUUUAAUGUCUGAGUGUGUUGGUAUAAUCAUUACACCCUGUAAUAUAUUUCCAGGUGGUUUAUUGAUGAGGGAAAAAUCUAUUGUAUAUGGAAAGCUAUUUUAUUUAUACAUCUGGUAAUCUGUUUCAAUGCAAUAAUUAUUGCUCUAUUGUAGAUUUAUUUGAUGUUUUUAUAUCUAAUCGUAUAUUAUUAGUUUUCAUCAUUUAUGUGCAUUGCUCUGCUUCAUAUGACUACACACAUGCAGGUAACUUAAAAAAUCUAAUGGUACGUGUUCUCCUUGCUUUUUGACUAUCUUGCAUAUUGCGUUUUGGCGUUGUUGGGGAAUUUGAAAUAGGAAACUAAAUGAAGAAGCUAGAGAGAAAUGAAACUACUUGUUGAUUUUGUAUUCAACUUGUUCCUUGGUUCAUUUUCAGAUAUUACUUUACGUUAUAAUUUAGAAAUUGUUUUCUAUUUAUUUUUUAAAAAUAAGUCCAGAGUUAUAUGUACUGUAAUUUUUUUUUUAUUUCUCUUGAUUAUUUAUCUGCUACAUUGAAUUACAAACAAGAAAUAAUGCAAGAGCCAUGAUCACAGGAUGAGUUAUUAUCACACAUCAUUGGCCAUAUUCAACAAAAUGAGGUGGAUGUCGUUGAAGCAUAACUGACUCAACAAAGAAAUGCAUCAUACGGUUCGGAUAACAUAUUUUUCACGAUAGUACCACUAGAUAAAAAAAUAAAUGGCAUUUAUGGGUUGAGAUCACUAGUUGAGGUUGUCCUUCCUCGACCAUCAUCCUUCAGCAGCGAUGGUUGGACUCCGGACACAUUCAUCCUUGAGGAACAAUCCGGAUAAUGUAUUUGUGAUAUUUUUUAUUUGGGGUACUGAUACUAAAUAUAUUGUGUUUGUAGUCUAUUAGACAUUGUUUAGAUUUGAAAAUUCUAUAUGAUUAAGUUAGUUCUCAUAUCUUUGACGAGAGAUUAAUCGAAUCAUUAAAUUGGAUGGACU